rnacentral:lncRNA from 10 species
ACCCUACCUUUUUGCAUUAAAUAAGUGGGAAAAUAUUGAAAUCAUUUUAAUCUUUCAGAAAGGACUGUGAUGAGAUAUGCUUAGAAGCACAAAAUCUUCCCUCUCUUUCCAAAGGCCAUGCUCUGCUCAACACAAUUUCUAUUGCUGUUUAUUUUUUUGUAUUAUUUCUCAGUGUUUCUUUUAGUGCUUUCUGAGUUACUUGAUUUUAUAGACCCUUUACAACUCAGGAAAGGCCAUUUUCUACUCUUUAGACCCUUUCAGAAAUAAUAAGAUGACAUUGCACAACCAUUUUUUCUUUGUUGUGCUUCUAUUCUUAUGGCAACUUCUUGUUACAGCCAAAGCUUAAUUGCUCCACUGAAACACUGGCAACAAAAAUCGUCUUCUCUUCUCCCUUUGUGAAAAAGGCUUUCACUUAAUGUGGAGAAAGGUAUUAUAUACCAGGGAAAUGGAACUUUGUAUAAAUGAUUUUCCCCCAAGAGGAACUAAAGCAUUUGGAAGGUAUCUGAAUUCAGGGCACUUCAGGACUGCAGCAAAGGGCAUUUGAUGGAGUCUAUAACAGAAAAGAAAGUCCUCCUCUGGAAUUUCUGACUAUAUUUCAUUGGCCACAACUGGAUUCCAUGGCCACCCCUAACUACUGGGGAGGCUGAGAAUUCAAAUGCUGAAAAUUGCAAUCUCCAUAGUGAAAGACACGAAGAAAGAAAUUGAUUGAAAUGGGUUAAUUAAUUCAAUUAGCAACACUUUUUCUCAGCAAAGGAGCUGAGAAAGAAAAUGUUUUGGUUCAGUCCUGGGUAGGGGUGCUUGACAGUGCUUAAUAUCACCAGCACUGAAGGUAAUAAAUAUUAUCUCUCUUUUCUAUCAUGAAUAUGAAUGAUACUCUGAAGGCUGAAUGCAACCUCAGAAUUUAAGUGAGAAAUGAGGCAUGCAACACUUUUGAAAAUAUAUUAGCCCAAAGUCUGUAUUACUGCAUAUUUUAUUCCCCUUUUAAUAUGCUACAAAAGGUUUGAGCCAUCAGCUGAAUGCUGCCAGAGAAGAACAAACAAGAACAAGAAUGCAAAAAUAAAUGCUGGGAGUCAAGUUUUCCCAAGAUGUUCUUUAUAGUUGGUGUAUGAUCACAUUUCUAAGCAGACUGCUUUGCUUCAAGCUCUACCCAUCAGCACUUCUUCCACAAGCCUGGUUCUCCAGGAAGUUUAUCCCGGGCUAACUAUGCAGAAAUAUACGUGGGGCAAAGUGGGUACUGGAGAAAGCAUUCCAUGAACUCCUUCUUUUGCCCUGCUACCUGAUUCUGUGUAACUUCUUCCAUGCCUGAGAUCUUCUCUUCCAUUUUGAGAACAUGAAGGAAACAUGUUUGCUUAAGUACGUUCUGGUUGGGAAUUAAAUAUUUAAUUCUGAUCAUUUUUAGUGUCUGAAAUAUAUUUCGUAAGCAUGGUCAUAUGAUAAUUAUAACUAUAAAAUGUUUUACAUUCUACAAACUUUAUCCCAUGUUACUAAUAUUCAGGAAAUGAUCAUAGGAAAAUAUUUGCACUAGGAUACUAUUCAUUAUUUUAACUCUUUCUAUUUAUACAUAGUUUUAAGAAAUUCUACAAUGAAUUUAUAUCAUCUUCAUAAUAGGGAACAAAAAUAAACUUCACUUUUUCCAUGAGGCUGUUGUCUUCCAAGACCAUACCUAAGCCAAGUUUGGGUUUAUAAAGUCAAAAUCAUGAGAUAUCCCAUCUGUGAACAAAUACUCAUGGCUAUAAUUUGGACGUUUGUUGUUUCCAAACUUCAUGUUGAAAUUUGACCCUCAAUAUUGGAUGUGGGGUGAUAUGGUUUCAUUGUGUCCUCACAAAAAAUCUCAUCUUGAAUUGUAAUCCCCAUAAUUCCCACGUGUCAAGGGCGGGAUCAGAUGGAGGUAACUGGAUCAUGGAGGCAGUUUCCCCCAUGCUGCUGUCAUAAUAAUGAGUGACUCUCAUGAGAUCUGAUGGUUUUAUAAGCAUCUGGCAUUGCCCUUGCUUGCACUCACUUCAUCCUGCCACCCUGUGAAGAAGGUGCCUGCUUCUCCUUAGCCUUCUGCCAUGGUUGUAAGUUUCCUGAGGCCUCCCCAGCAAGGCAAAACUGUGAGUCAAUUAAACCUCUUUCCUUUAUAAAUUACUUAGCCUCGGGUAUUUCUUCAUAACAUUGUGAGAGAGGACUAAUACAUGGGGCCUAAUGGCAGGUGUUUGGGUUAUGGGGCUGAAUCCUUCUACAAUAGGUUAAUGUUCUCCCUCAGUGGUGAGUUCUCACUCUAUUAGUUCCUGCGAGAGCCAGUUGUUUCAAAGAGCUAGGGGUGCACCUCUCCCUGCCUUGCUUCCUCUUUUGCCUUGGAAUCUCUGGGUCCCCUUCACCUUCAGCCAUGAGUGGAAGCAGCCUGAGACCUUCACCAAAUGCAGAUGCCCAAUCUUGAACUUUCCAGCCAUCAUAAUUGUGACCCAAAUAAACCUUUUUCUUUAUAAACUACCCGGUCUCAAGUAUUUCUUUAUUUUGUUUU